rnacentral:rRNA from 1 species
UGUCUGGGAACUGCCUGAUGGAGGGGGAUAACUACUGGAAACGGUAGCUAAUACCGCAUAACGUCGCAAGACCAAAGAGGGGGACCUUCGGGCCUCUUGCCAUCGGAUGUGCCCAGAUGGGAUUAGCUAGUAGGUGGGGUAACGGCUCACCUAGGCGACGAUCCCUAGCUGGUCUGAGAGGAUGACCAGCCACACUGGAACUGAGACACGGUCCAGACUCCUACGGGAGGCAGCAGUGGGGAAUAUUGCACAAUGGGCGCAAGCCUGAUGCAGCCAUGCCGCGUGUAUGAAGAAGGCCUUCGGGUUGUAAAGUACUUUCAGCGGGGAGGAAGGGAGUAAAGUUAAUACCUUUGCUCAUUGACGUUACCCGCAGAAGAAGCACCGGCUAACUCCGUGCCAGCAGCCGCGGUAAUACGGAGGGUGCAAGCGUUAAUCGGAAUUACUGGGCGUAAAGCGCACGCAGGCGGUUUGUUAAGUCAGAUGUGAAA